UAGAGUUUGAUCCUGGCUCAGAUUGAACGCUGGCGGCAGGCCUAACACAUGCAAGUCGAGCGGUAACAGAUCCAGCUUGCUGGAUGCUGACGAGCGGCGGACGGGUGAGUAAUGCAUAGGAAUCUGCCCGAUAGUGGGGGAUAACCUGGGGAAACCCAGGCUAAUACCGCAUACGUCCUACGGGAGAAAGGGGGCUUCGGCUCCCGCUAUCGGAUGAGCCUAUGUCGGAUUAGCUAGUUGGUGAGGUAAAGGCUCACCAAGGCAACGAUCCGUAGCUGGUCUGAGAGGAUGAUCAGCCACAUCGGGACUGAGACACGGCCCGAACUCCUACGGGAGGCAGCAGUGGGGAAUAUUGGACAAUGGGGGCAACCCUGAUCCAGCCAUGCCGCGUGUGUGAAGAAGGCCCUCGGGUUGUAAAGCACUUUCAGCGAGGAAGAACGCCUAGCGGUUAAUACCCACUAGGAAAGACAUCACUCGCAGAAGAAGCACCGGCUAACUCCGUGCCAGCAGCCGCGGUAAUACGGAGGGUGCAAGCGUUAAUCGGAAUUACUGGGCGUAAAGCGCGCGUAGGUGGCUUGAUAAGCCGGUUGUGAAAGCCCCGGGCUCAACCUGGGAACGGCAUCCGGAACUGUCAAGCUAGAGUGCAGGAGAGGAAGGUAGAAUUCCCGGUGUAGCGGUGAAAUGCGUAGAGAUCGGGAGGAAUACCAGUGGCGAAGGCGGCCUUCUGGACUGACACUGACACUGAGGUGCGAAAGCGUGGGUAGCAAACAGGAUUAGAUACCCUGGUAGUCCACGCCGUAAACGAUGUCGACCAGCCGUUGGGUGCCUAGCGCACUUUGUGGCGAAGUUAACGCGAUAAGUCGACCGCCUGGGGAGUACGGCCGCAAGGUUAAAACUCAAAUGAAUUGACGGGGGCCCGCACAAGCGGUGGAGCAUGUGGUU
rnacentral:rRNA from 1 species